AGAGUUUGAUCAUGGCUCAGGACGAACGCUGGCGGCACGCUUAACACAUGCAAGUCGAACGAGAGAAGAGGAGCUUGCUUUUCUGAUCUAGUGGCGGACGGGUGAGUAACACGUGAGCAAUCUGCCUUUCAGAGGGGGAUACCGAUUGGAAACGAUCGUUAAUACCGCAUAACAUAAUUGAACCGCAUGAUUUGAUUAUCAAAGAUUUAUCGCUGAAAGAUGAGCUCGCGUCUGAUUAGCUAGUUGGUAAGGUAACGGCUUACCAAGGCGACGAUCAGUAGCCGGACUGAGAGGUUGAUCGGCCACAUUGGGACUGAGACACGGCCCAGACUCCUACGGGAGGCAGCAGUGGGGAAUAUUGCACAAUGGAGGAAACUCUGAUGCAGCGAUGCCGCGUGAGGGAAGAAGGUUUUAGGAUUGUAAACCUCUGUCUUCAGGGACGAAAAAAGACGGUACCUGAGGAGGAAGCUCCGGCUAACUACGUGCCAGCAGCCGCGGUAAUACGUAGGGAGCGAGCGUUGUCCGGAAUUACUGGGUGUAAAGGGAGCGUAGGCGGGAUCGCAAGUCAGAUGUGAAAACUAUGGGCUUAACCCAUAAACUGCAUUUGAAACUGUGGUUCUUGAGUGAAGUAGAGGUAAGCGGAAUUCCUAGUGUAGCGGUGAAAUGCGUAGAUAUUAGGAGGAACAUCAGUGGCGAAGGCGGCUUACUGGGCUUUAACUGACGCUGAGGCUCGAAAGCGUGGGGAGCAAACAGGAUUAGAUACCCUGGUAGUCCACGCCGUAAACGAUGAUUACUAGGUGUGGGGGGACUGACCCCUUCCGUGCCGCAGCAAACGCAAUAAGUAAUCCACCUGGGGAGUACGACCGCAAGGUUGAAACUCAAAGGAAUUGACGGGGGCCCGCACAAGCAGUGGAGUAUGUGGAUUAAUUCGAAGCAACGCGAAGAACCUUACCAGGUCUUGACAUCGUAUGCAUAGCUCAGGGAUGAGUGAAAUAUCUUCGGAGACAUAUAGACAGGUGGUGCAUGGUUGUCGUCAGCUCGUGUCGUGAGAUGUUGGGUUUAGUCCCGCAACGAGCGCAACCCUUACUGUUAGUUGCUACGCAAGAGCACUCUGGCAGGACUGCCGUUGACAAAACGGAGGAAGGUGGGGAUGACGUCAAAUCAUCAUGCCCCUUAUGACCUGGGCCUCACACGUACUACAAUGACUGUCAACAGAGGGAAGCAAAGCCGCGAGGUGGAGCGAACCCCUAAAAGCAGUCUUAGUUCGGAUUGUAGGCUGCAACCCGCCUACAUGAAGUCGGAAUUGCUAGUAAUCGCAGAUCAGCAUGCUGCGGUGAAUACGUUCCCGGGCCUUGUACACACCGCCCGUCACGCCAUGGGAGUCGGUAACACCCGAAGCCUGUAGUCUAACCGCAAGGAGGACGCAGUCGAAGGUGGGAUUGAUGACUGGGGUGAAGUCGUAACAAGGUA
rnacentral:rRNA from 1 species